CAUGCCGCGUGAGUGAUGAAGGCCUUAGGGUUGUAAAGCUCUUUUGUCCGGGACGAUAAUGACGGUACCGGAAGAAUAAGCCCCGGCUAACUUCGUGCCAGCAGCCGCGGUAAUACGAAGGGGGCUAGCGUUGCUCGGAAUCACUGGGCGUAAAGGGCGCGUAGGCGGCCAUUCAAGUCGGCGGUGAAAGCCUGUGGCUCAACCACAGAAUUGNCUUCGAUACUGUUUGGCUUGAGUAUGGUAGAGGUCGGUGGGAACUGCGAAGUGUAAAGGUGAAAUUCCGUAGAUAUUCGCAAGAACACCCAGUGGCGAAGGCGGCCGACUGGACCAUUACUGACGCUGAGGCGCGAUAGCGUGGGGAGCAAACAGGAUUAGAUACCCUGGU
rnacentral:rRNA from 1 species